AUCAUCACCGGUGGAGAAGGAAAAGAAAAAGAAAAAGACAAAAACAACACCAAAAAAAACACAACCAAAAAAGAAAAAAGUUGUUGUGGAGGAUUCACCUCCUGAAGAAGAUCAAUACUUUGAUGGUGAGAGAUAUGAAAUAUCAAGUGACGAACUAGAUGAAUGGCUAAGGGAAAACGUUGAUAAAUCUGCUGCAGAGGGGGAGAACCAAGCUGACCUGCAAUCGACAGAAGGUCGCUAUGUGUCCUCUGAAACAAUACCGGCUGUGAACUUGGGAAGUGAUGAUCCUUCCUCUCAAGGACGC